UCGCAUUUUUGGAAGUUUGUCCUUACGAAAAGGCUAGCAAAAUUUAGUGAGGCAAUGAAUGAAAAGACAUCUAGCGAUACUAAAAUUAAAAUUUGAUAACCCUAAAAUGUGUCAAACUUUGGCAUUUCGUGAAAAUCCUUCAAUGCGA
rnacentral:pre_miRNA from 1 species